rfam:Stegodyphus mimosarum contig43951, whole genome shotgun sequence.
GCCUUUGUGGUUUAACGGUAACAUACUCGGCGCGCAUUCGAGAGGUCCAGGUUCAAGUCCCGGCGAGGGCA